rnacentral:rRNA from 1 species
GAUGAACGCUGGCGGCGUGCCUAAUACAUGCAAGUCGAGCGAACGGACGAGAAGCUUGCUUCUCUGAUGUUAGCGGCGGACGGGUGAGUAACACGUGGAUAACCUACCUAUAAGACUGGGAUAACUUCGGGAAACCGGAGCUAAUACCGGAUAAUAUUUUGAACCGCAUGGUUCAAAAGUGAAAGACGGUCUUGCUGUCACUUAUAGAUGGAUCCGCGCUGCAUUAGCUAGUUGGUAAGGUAACGGCUUACCAAGGCAACGAUGCAUAGCCGACCUGAGAGGGUGAUCGCCCACACUGGAACUGAGACACGGUCCCGACUCCUACGGGAGGCAGCAGUAGGGAAUCUUCCGCAAUGGGCGAAAGCCUGACGGAGCAACGCCGCGUGAGUGAUGAAGGUCUUCGGAUCGUAAAACUCUGUUAUUAGGGAAGAACAUAUGUGUAAGUAACUGUGCACAUCUUGACGGUACCUAAUCAGAAAGCCACGGCUAACUACGUG